UCAGUCGACUCCUACGGGGAGGCAGCAGUGGGGAAUAUUGCACAAUGGGGGAAACCCUGAUGCAGCCAUGCCGCGUGUGUGAAGAAGGCCUUCGGGUUGUAAAGCACUUUCAGUAGGGAGGAAGGUAGUGUAGUUAACACCUGCAUUAUUUGACGUUACCUACAGAAGAAGCACCGGCUAACUCCGUGCCAGCAGCCGCGGUAAUACGGAGGGUGCGAGCGUUAAUCGGAAUUACUGGGCGUAAAGCGCAUGCAGGCGGCCUGUUAAGUCAGAUGUGAAAGCCCGGGGCUUAACCUCGGAAUUGCAUUUGAAACUGGCAGGCUAGAGUCUUGUAGAGGGGGGUAGGAAUUUCAGGUGUAGCGGUGAAAUGCGUAGAGAUCUGAAGGAAUACCAGUGGCGAAGGCGGCCCCCCUGGACAAAGACUGACGCUCAGAUGCGAAAGCGUGGGGAGCAAACAGGAUUAGAUACCCUGGUAG
rnacentral:rRNA from 1 species